AUUGAACGCUGGCGGCAGGCCUAACACAUGCAAGUCGAGCGGAGCGGCGGACGGGUGAGUAAUGCCUAGGCAUCUGCCUGGUAGUGGGGGAUAACGUCCGGAAACGUGCUCUAAUACCGCAUCCUAUCAGAUGAGCCUAGGGCGGAUUAGCUAGUUGGGGGGGUAAAGGCCUACCAAGGCGACGAUCCGUAACUGGUCUGAGAGGAUGCACAGUCAGACUGGAAACGAGAGACGGUCCAGACUCCUACGGGAGGCAGGCGUGGGGAAUAGUGGACAAUGGGCGAAAGCCGGAUACAGCCAUGCCGCGUGUGUGAAGAAGGUCUUCGGAUUGUAAAGCACUUUAAGUUGGGAGGCGUUACCAACAGAAUAAGCACCGGCUAACUUCGUGCCAGCAGCCGCGGUAAUUC
rnacentral:rRNA from 1 species